UACGGAGGGUGCAAGCGUUAUCCGGAUUCACUGGGUUUAAAGGGUGCGUAGGCGGGCAGGUAAGUCAGUGGUGAAAUCUCCGGGCUUAACCCGGAAACUGCCGUUGAUACUAUCUGUCUUGAAUAUCGUGGAGGUAAGCGGAAUAUGUCAUGUAGCGGUGAAAUGCUUAGAUAUGACAUAGAACACCCAUUGCGAAGGCAGCUUACUACACGAUCAUUGACGCUGAGGCGCGAAAGCGUGGGGAGCAAACAGG
rnacentral:rRNA from 1 species